ensembl:processed_transcript
AGAAAAGAAGGAGAAGCUUUUUUCCAGUUGUACUCAGGUGAAGCAUGUCCAGGAAGUCUGGGUCUGACACAGCAAGAAUCUGACCUUCAGGACUGGAUGAACGCUCACCUGAUGCAGUCCGGAUGCUCAGGGGCAGAGAUGCUGUUGUUGCCGGUGUAGUUUACUGGCACCACUGCCUCAUGGAUGGGGAAAAGUCCUCCAAUGAUGAUGUUUCCAGGGGCUGAGGCUCCCAACUGGCUGAACUGUGCAAUUGAGGCUUCUGCGACUUUCAUCAGCCCAGCCCAUAAGAGAAUGAAGCUCAUCAAAUCCAUGUUUUCCCUGAGUUCACCUGAGCGACUGACAGGUGUGCACUUACACAUCAUCACUUAUAAACCCCAGAGCUUUAAAAAAAGUAAAAAGAGAAAACACACAUGCACCACCUUUUCAAGCCCCUCCCCCACCCACAAAUAAAUAUAAAGGAGGUUCUUUCCUUGCACAACAGGUGAAACAUAACCAGUGCCAAAAACACCCUUAACAAAAGAACAACCAACCACCAGCCUGUGUUUUUUAAUGUAUGUUUGACAACGUGUCAUUAGGGUAACUGAAAUACGCUUGCUUUGUUCUACUGAAUAUUCAUUUGUUCUACUAAAGAAGCAAAGCUAUGUAAUACUUACAAUAAUAAAAUAAAUUACGAAGACUAAAAUGAGAAUAAAAAUUGAUUCAAAAUAUGAAUUAAAUUGGUUACUAUAAUAACACUAUCCAAACUUUG